AAUUUCACACCUGGAUGUGCUCACUCAACCAAGAAUAUAGAGAAAGAGCUUCUGCCCUGAGACUCAGAAAAAUAUUCUCCUCUGCUUCGGUUCAGUAUAGAUUUCUAGACCCUGAUCAUUGCUUAAGAGAUAUGCACUGGGG
rnacentral:lncRNA from 1 species